AGUGUAUAUCUAUUUUGCUGAGUUUAAAAAGCUCGUAGUUGGAUCUGCGUGUUCAGCAUCUGGUGCGGUCUUUGGCCGCCACUGGAAUGCGACACAUCGAAUGCCGGUUCGCCGUUGAUGCUCUUCAUCGGGUGUCAGCGGUGGCUGGUGAGUUUACUUUGAACAAAUUAGAGUGCUCAACGCAGGCGUUUCGCUUGUAUAUUUCUGCAUGGAAUAAUGGAAUAGGACCUCGGUUCUAUUUUGUUGGUUUUCGGAAGUGAGGUAAUGAUUAAGAGGGACUGACGGGGGCAUUCGUACUGCGACGUGAGAGGUGAAAUUCUUGGAUCGUCGCAAGACGCACUACUG
rnacentral:rRNA from 1 species